GAGUUUGAUCAUGGCUCAGAUUGAACGCUGGCGGCAGGCCUAACACAUGCAAGUCGAACGGUAACAGGAAGCAGCUUGCUGCUUCGCUGACGAGUGGCGGACGGGUGAGUAAUGUCUGGGAAACUGCCUGAUGGAGGGGGAUAACUACUGGAAACGGUAGCUAAUACCGCAUAACGUCGCAAGACCAAAGAGGGGGACCUUCGGGCCUCUUGCCAUCGGAUGUGCCCAGAUGGGAUUAGCUUGUUGGUGGGGUAACGGCUCACCAAGGCGACGAUCCCUAGCUGGUCUGAGAGGAUGACCAGCCACACUGGAACUGAGACACGGUCCAGACUCCUACGGGAGGCAGCAGUGGGGAAUAUUGCACAAUGGGCGCAAGCCUGAUGCAGCCAUGCCGCGUGUAUGAAGAAGGCCUUCGGGUUGUAAAGUACUUUCAGCGGGGAGGAAGGGAGUAAAGUUAAUACCUUUGCUCAUUGACGUUACCCGCAGAAGAAGCACCGGCUAACUCCGUGCCAGCAGCCGCGGUAAUACGGAGGGUGCAAGCGUUAAUCGGAAUUACUGGGCGUAAAGCGCACGCAGGCGGUUUGUUAAGUCAGAUGUGAAAUCCCCGGGCUCAACCUGGGAACUGCAUCUGAUACUGGCAAGCUUGAGUCUCGUAGAGGGGGGUAGAAUUCCAGGUGUAGCGGUGAAAUGCGUAGAGAUCUGGAGGAAUACCGGUGGCGAAGGCGGCCCCCUGGACGAAGACUGACGCUCAGGUGCGAAAGCGUGGGGAAGCAAACAGGAUUAGAUACCCUGGUAGUCCACGCCGUAAACGAUGUCGACUUGGAGGUUGUGCCCUUGAGGCGUGGCUUCCGGAGCUAACGCGUUAAGUCGACCGCCUGGGGAGUACGGCCGCAAGGUUAAAACUCAAAUGAAUUGACGGGGGCCCGCACAAGCGGUGGAGCAUGUGGUUUAAUUCGAUGCAACGCGAAGAACCUUACCUGGUCUUGACAUCCACAGAACUUUCCAGAGAUGGAUUGGUGCCUUCGGGAACUGUGAGACAGGUGCUGCAUGGCUGUCGUCAGCUCGUGUUGUGAAAUGUUGGGUUAAGUCCCGCAACGAGCGCAACCCUUAUCCUUUGUUGCCAGCGGUCCGGCCGGGAACUCAAAGGAGACUGCCAGUGAUAAACUGGAGGAAGGUGGGGAUGACGUCAAGUCAUCAUGGCCCUUACGACCAGGGCUACACACGUGCUACAAUGGCGCAUACAAAGAGAAGCGACCUCGCGAGAGCAAGCGGACCUCAUAAAGUGCGUCGUAGUCCGGAUUGGAGUCUGCAACUCGACUCCAUGAAGUCGGAAUCGCUAGUAAUCGUGGAUCAGAAUGCCACGGUGAAUACGUUCCCGGGCCUUGUACACACCGCCCGUCACACCAUGGGAGUGGGUUGCAAAAGAAGUAGGUAGCUUAACCUUCGGGAGGGCGCUUACCACUUUGUGAUUCAUGACUGGGGUGAAGUCGUAACAAGGUAACCGUAGGGGAACCUGCGGUUGGAUCACC
rnacentral:rRNA from 1 species